GACGAACGCUGGCGGCGUGCUUAACACAUGCAAGUCGUACGGUAAGGCCCUUUCGGGGGUCCACGAGUGGCGAACGGGUGAGUAACACGUGAGUAACCUGCCCACAACUUUGGGAUAACGCUAGGAAACUGGUGCUAAUACUGGAUAUGUGCUCCUGCUGCAUGGUGGGGGUUGGAAAGCUCCGGCGGUUGUGGAUGGACUCGCGGCCUAUCAGCUUGUUGGUGGGGUAGUGGCCUACCAAGGCGGCGACGGGUAGCCGGCCUGAGAGGGUGACCGGCCACAUUGGGACUGAGAUACGGGCCAGACUCCUACGGGAGGCAGCAGUGGGGAAUAUUGCACAAUGGGCGCAAGCCUGAUGCAGCAACGCCGCGUGCGGGAUGACGGCCUUCGGGUUGUAAACCGCUUUCAGCAGGGACGAAGCUUUUUGUGACGGUACCUGCAGAAGAAGCACCGGCUAACUACGUG
rnacentral:rRNA from 1 species